rnacentral:tRNA from 1 species
GCGGGAGUAGUUCAGUGGUAGAACGCAACCUUCCCAAGGUUGAUGUCGCGGGUUCGAUCCCCGUUUCCCGCUCCA